AAAUGGCUUAAGGGGGAGCAAAUGGGACACCUAGAAAGACUUUAUUAUUUUGCUUUUCUGAGCUAAUCAAUGACUUUAACUUGGAAAAGCAACUAAAUAUUUGGAGAAAACCAUGAAAAGAAUAUAUACUUACAGACUGGCCAAGGAGAUCUUCAAGGACACUCCUAAAGAAAAUUUCCCAGGAACGAGAAAAAUUUGCUGAUGAAGGCAGUAUAUUUUACACCCUUGGAGAAUGUGGGCUCAUAUCCUUUUCAGACUACAUUUUCCUCACAACUGUUCUUUCCAGUA
rnacentral:lncRNA from 1 species